AGUGAAUUGGGACAGAAGAGCAAGUGUUUCCUGAUGAUAUCGUCAGAUUUCAUUGUUUAAGAAGCAGUCCAGUUUCCACACCGCAAUUUAUUGUCAUUUCUCAAAGACAGUAAUGACACUUUACAUUUCCACAAUGCUUCAGUCUUUCAUCCUUGGAAUGUGGAUUCCAUCUCUCAGUGGAGCACCUCAGAAAUCAAAGCUCUGGGAGAUAACUUCUCUGGCAUGAAGCUUCUGAUAACUUCUCUGUAUUAGUGAGACUUGCCAAUAAUCAGGAAAGAGUGGGGCUAUUCAAUAUCAGAAGAGCACCAACUACAUUCUGUACAUCAUAUAGAGAUUAACAAAUAAAUAAACACAUCAACAAAUAAACACCUACAGUUUACUAGGAA